AAUAUUGGACAAUGGGGGAAACCCUGAUGCAGCGACGCCGCGUGAGCGAAGAAGGCCUUCGGGUCGUAAAGCUCUGUCCUAAGGGAAGAAACGGACGGUACCUUAGGAGGAAGCCCCGGCUAACUACGUGCCAGCAGCCGCGGUAAUACGUAGGGGGCAAGCGUUAUCCGGAAUCAUUGGGCGUAAAGGGUGCGUAGGCGGCCUUAUGGGUCAGAGGUGAAAUCCUACGGCUUAACCGUAGUCAGCCUUUGAAACUGUAGGGCUUGAGUGCAGGAGAGGAGAGUGGAAUUCCUAGUGUAGCGGUGAAAUGCGUAGAUAUUAGGAGGAACACCAGUGGCGAAGGCGACUCUCUGGACUGCAACUGACGCUGAGGCACGAAAGCGUGGGUAGCGAACA
rnacentral:rRNA from 1 species